UACGGGGGGUGCAAGCGUUAUUCGGAAUUAUUGGGCGUAAAGGGCGCGCAGGCGGCCUCUUAAGUCAGAUGUGAAAGCCCGGGGCUUAACCCCGGAGGUGCAUUUGAAACUAAGGGGCUUGAGUAUGGGAGAGGGAAGUGGAAUUCCUGGUGUAGCGGUGAAAUGCGUAGAUAUCAGGAGGAACACCGGUGGCGAAGGCGACUUCCUGGACCAAUACUGACGCUGAGGCGCGAAGGCGUGGGGAGCAAACAGG
rnacentral:rRNA from 1 species